rnacentral:rRNA from 1 species
CCUACGGGAGGCAGCAGUGAGGAAUAUUGGUCAAUGGACGAGAGUCUGAACCAGCCAAGUAGCGUGAAGGAUGACUGCCCUAUGGGUUGUAAACUUCUUUUAUAAGGGAAUAAAAUGUGCCACGUGUGGGAUUUUGUAUGUACCAUAUGAAUAAGGAUCGGCUAACUCCGUGCCAGCAGCCGCGGUAAUACGGAGGAUCCGAGCGUUAUCCGGAUUUAUUGGGUUUAAAGGGAGCGUAGGUGGAUUGUUAAGUCAGUUGUGAAAGUUUGCGGCUCAACCGUAAAAUUGCAGUUGACACUGGCAGUCUUGAUUACAGUAGAGGUGGGCGGAAUUCGUGGUGUAGCGGUGAAAUGCUUAGAUAUCACGAAGAACUCCGAUUGCGAAGGCAGUUCACUAGACUGCAACUGACACUGAUGCUCGAAAGUGUGGGUAUCAAACAGGAUUAGCUACCCGAGUAGUC